UAACACAUGCAAGUCGAGCGGAAACGAUCCUAGCUUGCUAGGAGGCGUCGAGCGGCGGACGGGUGAGUAACACGUGAGAAUCUGCCCAUUAGUGGGGGAUAACCUGGGGAAACCCAGGCUAAUACCGCAUAAUCCCUACGGGGGAAAGCAGGGGAYCUUCGGRCCUUGUGCUGAUGGAUGAGCUCGCGUCGGAUUAGCUUGUUGGUGAGGUAAUGGCUCACCAAGGCGACGAUCCGUAGCUGGUCUUAGAGGAUGAUCAGCCACACCGGGACUGAGACACGGCCCGGACUCCUACGGGAGGCAGCAGUGGGGAAUCUUGGACAAUGGGGGCAACCCUGAUCCAGCCAUGCCGCGUGUGUGAAGAAGGCCUUCGGGUUGUAAAGCACUUUCAGUAGGGAGGAAGGCUUAUCCUUAAUACGGAUGAGUACUUGACGUUACCUACAGAAGAAGCACCGGCUAAUUUCGUGCCAGCAGCCGCGGUAAUACGAAAGGUGCAAGCGUUAAUCGGAAUUACUGGGCGUAAAGCGCGCGUAGGCGGUUUGCUAAGUCAGAUGUGAAAGCCCCGGGCUCAACCUGGGAACUGCAUUUGAAACUGGCAGGCUAGAAUGCAGUAGAGGGAGGUGGAAUUUCCGGUGUAGCGGUGAAAUGCGUAGAGAUCGGAAGGAACACCAGUGGCGAAAGCGGCCUCCUGGACUGACAUUGACCUGAGGUGCGAAAAGCGUGGGGAGCAAACAGGGAUUAGAUACCCUGGUAGUCCACGCC
rnacentral:rRNA from 1 species